rnacentral:rRNA from 1 species
CAGCAGCCGCGGGAAUACGUAGGUGGCAAGCGUUGUCCGGAAUUAUUGGGCGUAAAGGGCUCGCAGGCGGUUUCUUAAGUCUGAUGUGAAAGCCCCCGGCUCAACCGGGGAGGGUCAUUGGAAACUGGGAAACUUGAGUGCAGAAGAGGAGAGUGGAAUUCCACGUGUAGCGGUGAAAUGCGUAGAGAUGUGGAGGAACACCAGUGGCGAAGGCGACUCUCUGGUCUGUAACUGACGCUGAGGAGCGAAAGCGUGGGGAGCGAACAGGAUUAGAUACCCGAGUAGUCCCUGUCUCUUAUAC